ensembl:lncRNA
ACAAGAUUUCAAUGCUUGCAGUUUUAAUUAUUUGUUCUUAUUUUUUAUCAAUGACUGUUUACUUGUCUUUGAUAACCUUUGACAUUUAUAUUUGUUUACCUUGACAGUUAUAUAGUUGGAGUCAAAUUUGCCUCCUCCGCUGGGCAGAAGUUUUGCCCUUAGGUGGCUGACCUCCACCUUAUCCCGACGUACAGGUCCAUCAACGCCUCUUCUUUCCACAAAGUUACCUCCAGAAGUUUUGUUCCAGACCUCAAAGAAAGGUCCAGGACGGGAUACUGGGCCCGAGUCAUCCUGGCCACUUCCAAAUGGAAAAUAACAGCCCAGUGUCACAGAUGAGUGUUUCUCAGUCCUGUUCCAGGUAUUCCCAAUCAAAGUUAAUUCACCUAAAUGUGUAUCUCAGAUAAGAGUGUUAGGGUUCUCUAGGACUGUGAUUGAGAAACACAAUUAUAAUAGUUUACAUUUGCUUAGGAUAAGUAAACCAGGAUAUUGUACUAGAUAUUCAAUUGUGAUUUUAAAUUCACUAACUUUCUCAAUAUUUCCCCGCAGACUCAGGUACCCAGGGCUUUUGAAGAUCUCCUGUUCUUCCCCGGUUACAAAUGGUGAAGGAGGAUAGAGGACCUCUUUAGCAGCUCUCUCUGCCUCCUCGGUUAUGGCCAAUGAAGAGGUUUUAAAUUUCCUGCUUGACACGUUUAAAAAAAUACACUGUCGCCCAUUUUGUUUUGAGAGGGUAACAUUUUUUGUGUGAUAUAUGACCCACCCUCUUCAAACUCUGGGUCACUUCCAUUUUUUAUUGAGGUGUACCAUGUCUGUCCAUCAGUAAGGGCUGACAGUGUGAUCACCUUGUUUGCUCCAGCAUCAAUUAUAUUGUCUUUGGUAACGAGAUUUAAACAAAUGAAUGCAUGAUGAUUAGAGCCCGACCGAUAUGGAUUUUUGGGGGCCGAUGCCGAUGCCGAUAUUAACUGGAAAAGAGCCGAUUUAUAAGCCGAUAUUUUGAUUUUGAAAAUAAACUGGAUAUUAGACCCAUUUCCUAUAAACUGCACUUACACAACAUUCAAUAGCAAAAUAUCUGCCUGUUCUAUGUAUGUGGGCUGUAUAAACCAUUUUCCAGAAGGGAUUUAUGUAAAAAAAAAUAAAAAAAGCCUUAGAUUACAGUCUCAAUGACUAAACAAUUGCACAUCAAAAGUAUAUAUUUUUUAAUGAUCAAAAAACAGUCUGGUUUUAAACAUUUAACACUUUUACUUUCUUCCAGUUGAAGCUGGUUUUAACAGUCUGUGUGUGUAAUGUAAAUAAAUUAUAAUACUAAAGUUAAAGUAUUUGCAGAAGUAGUCCCACACUUUGCUGCUACAGCAUUCACCUUUUUCAGCCAUCUGUAGGGCAGAAAGAGAGACAGAGAAAGAAUAAGCAUGUGUAUUAAUAAUAUCACCAUGUAUCAUUACUCGUGUCAUCAUUAGAAUUAUAAUAAUAAUAAACAGGGAUCUCCUACAUAGGCAAAAAUGAGAAAAAUAUACAUAUAUAUUUUUUUAUUUGUCAAGCAAUAGGUAUUACCUACUUAUAUUUAACUAUAUUAUUUCAACAUUUCCCUGUUAUGUCUGUAAAGCUGCUUUGAAACGAUAUGUAAAAAAAAAAAAAAAAAAAAAAAAAACGCGUGUUCAGCUCACAUUUAGUUACAUGUCCCCUCUGGUUUAAUCAUUUCUGACGCACCUACUGUAGUUACUGUAACUACACUAUAUUUGCUCUCACAGACACAUUCACAACGGACCCGUAUAUAUUCUCCUCUUCUCUUUGUGCAGUCUGAAUCAAAACAUCGUUAUGCGCUGGCGAACGUAAAGUUAGCCUAAUGUUACCGGAAGAUUACGGAAUCAAUUCGAAGUUGAAUGGUUAACGUUAGUGCCAUGAACACACCGCUGUCAAUUUUGAGAAGAACCACCUUCAAACAAGUUAAUAGCAAGCAUUUAAGGGGCCUGCUAAAAAUGAAGCUAUAUUAGCGUUAGAGUAACGUAACCAGCCUGAAUUCACCAAAUUGUGCUCUGGACCUGAGGGUAGCCUCUUCUUCCUUGCUUCUCUCUUAAUUAUCAUCAGCUGGACUAGCGCUAUCGCUCGCUUCUUACAACGGGACAGAUACAUGUUUGCUGCUGACCGAAAGGAGGAACAACAGAUUAGAGCUCCCGCUAAAAGUUUUUAAAACUCCGCCAACGCCAUAGCGCAGCGCAGCCGCAAAUCGCGUUGUAUCUGAAGGGCAACGCUAAACCCAGCGGGCAAGCGCCGUGCAUACCGCGUCCUGUGUGAAAGGCCCAUUACGCGGUCAUUAUGUGGGAAACGCACCGCAAUAGAAUAAGAAUAAGUUAAAUGCUAAUAUUAUAGUUUGACCUCAUAUUAACGUUCACACUCUUCCACUGAUAAACAUGGUAUUAGCUUUGUGGCUAAUCUAAUAUAGCAAUGCAUUAGCGGCUCUAAGUGAUGUUGCAGAAUAUUUAGAAGUGAUGAUAGGACCGUUAGCUAGAAUUACCACACCGUUUUUAUAUACAUUGUAUGAACUAAAUCUACAAUCAUUUCACAUGAGGAACGACAGACUCACCUGGGUGGCUGAUCGCUUUCUUCUGUAGUGAAUUUCUGUAGUGAAUCUCUGGAGUUGCAGACCGCCCUCUGGUGGGCAAACUAUGCAACACUCAUAACAUGAGUGAAGCAUGAGACUCCGUUUCUCAUGUUCCAUCGGCCGUUAUAAACGCCGAUGCCGAUUUAAAUGCAAUUAGCUCAUAUCGGCCGAUAAUAUCGGCCGGCCGAUAUAUCGGUCGGGCUCUAAUGAUGAUUUGUUUUGUUGCAUUAAUUUAUUCAUCAAUAGCAUACAUAAGUGUAUUGCCUUUUGCAAUGUUAUAUCUUAUGUAUAUGUGAAUUGCAUUCAUGUGUUCAUUACAUAUAUGAGUUAUCACACGCAUGUACGCAAGGGUUGUUUCUCAUUUAUGUACACAUACUCAUGGAUUUGUGUAUGUGUAAUCAAAUGAUUUUCCUCUUUCUGUUACUUGCAUAUCUAGAUUAUUUCUGUGUAUGUCAUUUUAGCAUGUAUUUUGGGAUUGCAGUGUAGAUUUAUACAUUUGUUUUGUAGUGUAGCCUCCAGUGGUGAAGAAUGGUCACCAGCAAUCAGGAUACUUGCUCAGCAUCCACCACCAGCAGACCUCAGACCUCCAUGACCCCCCACACACUGUUCAGGUGAUUCAGUGAGGCCAAAAACAUACAGUGAGCAAUAUAGAGGGAGGUCUCGUUCUGUCAAGGGGA